UACGGGGGGGGCAAGCGUUGUUCGGAAUUACUGGGCGUAAAGGGCUCGUAGGCGGCCAACUAAGUCAGACGUGAAAUCCCUCGGCUUAACCGGGGAACUGCGUCUGAUACUGGAUGGCUAGAGUUCGGGAGAGGGAUGCGGAAUUCCAGGUGUAGCGGUGAAAUGCGUAGAUAUCUGGAGGAACACCGGUGGCGAAGGCGGCAUCCUGGACCGACACUGACGCUGAGGAGCGAAAGCGUGGGGAGCGAACAGG
rnacentral:rRNA from 1 species